AUUGAACGCUGGCGGCAUGCCUUACACGUGCAAGUCGAACGGCAGCACGGGAGCAAUCCUGGUGGCGAGUGGCGAACGGGUGAGUAAUAUAUCGGAACGUGCCCAGUCGUGGGGGAUAACGCAGCGAAAGCUGUGCUAAUACCGCAUACGAUCUAUGGAUGAAAGCGGGGGAUCGCAAGACCUCGCGCGAUUGGAGCGGC
rnacentral:rRNA from 1 species